rnacentral:rRNA from 1 species
UACGGAGGGGGCGAGCGUUGUCCGGAAUCAUUGGGCGUAAAGCGCGUGUAGGCGGUUCAGGAAGGCUGCUGGUAAAGUCCAGGGCUCAACCCUGGGAUGCCGGUGGAUACUGCUGAACUAGAGUGCGGAAGAGGCGAGUGGAAUUCCCGGUGUAGCGGUGAAAUGCGCAGAUAUCGGGAGGAACACCAAUUGCGAAGGCAGCUCGCUGGGACGUUACUGACGCUGAGACGCGAAAGCGUGGGGAGCAAACAGG